CGAUGUUUGUGAGCAAGGAUGGCUGAAUCUGCAGUAGUUUCUGGCUUUUCUUUUUGUGGCUUAGCUAGGUGAUAAUGGUUACCUUCAUGGCAAUUUUGUCUGAUAUUUGGUAGUGAUCUUGGCUGAAUUUUGGGUUGAUUUGGGUGUGGUUUUGUGUAGCAAAGCUACGGUUUGGGUGUGGACCUAGCAUCUAAAACCAGGAUCAUGCCAUCAUUUAGUUCGAGGUAUACCCUAUCACUUGUUCCCUAUGAAGCCUUUGCUUGGAAUUCAAAUAAACGGCUGAAAUUUUCUUUUAUAAUAGUUCCAACUUAGCUCGAAUUAUCCUUGGGUCCAUUCUUCCUUCAUUCUUCCCAUCUAAGCAUGUCAUGUUUGUCAUGUUAUAAGUCAUUUAGCACACUAAAGUCCAUUAAAGCAAUCAAACCGUUGUUCAAAGGGGUUAAGGUUAGUGGUGCUUUUAACAACCACUAUUCUAUCCUAAGUCCGAUAUUCAAGCUCUAAUCAAAGUAUGUUUAGCAUGAUGAUAAUGAUAUUGUGUAGUAAUGCUUAGUAAAAUAGGUUCUUUUAAUGUUUUCUUAGUUUAUAUACCUUUCAUCGUUGGAAAUGUGGAUUAGUGUUUGGGAUGAUAACUAACGUUACGAUCUUCAUCUCCUUGCGAGGUUGGCUCUGAUAGUGGUUACUCAAAGGAUUCGACAAUGAAGAUGGUGUUGCUAUUGGCGAGUUAGUGAUGUUGAGUGACCGAUAGUAGUGAGAACGAGUGUGGUUUUAGGUGAGGGUGGAGGGUAACGAUGACUUGAGUGUGAUUUGAGGACGAGAUAACUAUAAUUUUUGUAACUAAUAACCGCCUCUCUCUAUUUUUGGUGUUUUUGUUCCGAUUAUUUUGCUUUUUGUUGGGAUUUUUGUAAGGUUUAUGUAGGAAUUUUCAAAAUAUACUCUUAAUCACUCUAAUUUUCCCUAAACUCUUAUGCUUAACACUUCUAUUUUCAACUAUAAGAGCUUCAUAACAUUGAUCACAC
rnacentral:lncRNA from 1 species